ACCGCUCAAUUUAACAUGGGCCUGCUUUCCAAAGAAGAUGACCGAUGUAUAGAACUCGAAGAAUAUGCAUUGACAUCUAUGAAAAAAGGAGUUUCUUUAAUGGCUGUGAGUGAACGCGGUGAGCUCGUCGGUGUUGUCAUAAACUGUGUUACUGAAAGAGAAGAUGCAGCUACGAUAUCGGAUCCAUCCAAGGACUGCGCAAAUCCAAAAUUCGCCAAGAUUCUUGCCCUCCUGCACCAUGUGAGCCAAGAAGCCAAUGUUUUUGGCCAAUUUCCUGAUGUGCAACGUGUUUUGAACAUAUCAAUACUGUCGGUCGAUAGCAAUUGGCGAGGCAGAGGAAUUGCCAGGGCGCUGACUGAUGCCACGGCCGAAUAUGCUAAAGAUCACGCCGUUGAAAUGUUGCGAGUGGAUUGUACGAGCCAUUUCACGGCCCUUAUCUCAGAAAGGCUCGGUUUCCAUUCCAUCUACAGUUUGCCAUAUGCACAGUACAUCAAAGACGGAAAACCCGUAUUCAACCCACCGCCCCCACAUUUGGAAAUCAAAGUCUUUGUUCAUCGAGUCGAUGAAGACAAACGCAAAACCAAACUGAACAUUUUGUACCACUAAGGCAAAAUAUCUGUGAACUGUGGACUAACAUAAGAGACAUUUUAUUUCAUGAAAUGAUUAAGAUCCUGUUAUAGCUUUCUUUUUUGCGGAAAGCGAAGUUCCAUAAAAAGUUGAUCCUAAGUAACUUGAAAUUUUCGUGACAUCAUAAAUAACAGUUCAAGUUUUUAGCUUUAAGAAAGACAUUUUGAUUUGAUUUUUUAU